rnacentral:rRNA from 1 species
UACGUAGGGUGCGAGCGUUGUCCGGAAUUAUUGGGCGUAAAGGGCUCGUAGGCGGUCUGUUGCGUCAGGAGUGAAAACUCAGGGCUUAACCCUGAGCUUGCAGUGGGUACGGGCAGACUAGAGUGCGGUAGGGGAGACUGGAAUUCCUGGUGUAGCGGUGAAAUGCGCAGAUAUCAGGAGGAACACCGGUGGCGAAGGCGGGUCUCUGGGCCGUAACUGACGCUGAAGAAGCGGAAAGCAUGGGGAGCGAACAGG